UUACUGUAUAAGUGAUGAGUUCGGUCAUUUUUAGAAAUUAAUUUGUGAAGGAUUGUUAAAAUGACCAUUUCUUAUGAGCUAAAGUCUUGAUCAUUUUGUACAUUUGUAUUAAGAGUGAGACUACAGGAACGGUUAUCCUGGUAUAUCUCUGUAUCUUUGUUUUCUAGGGUUUCCUGGGCUUCUGAAAAACAAGAGUUGGUUCCGCCUCUGAUUCCAGCAUUUGUUGCUCCUGAUCCCCCACAGCACUCUGAGCACCCUAAGCUAUUGUUUGAUGCUGUAGUUUUCCAGAAUCAGCUUCCACAGACUCCAAUAAGUGUUCCCUCGAUUUAUGAAAAGGAAGAGUCAGUUUCGCUUCAGCCAAUUGCACCUGUUGCUUCUCAUCCUCCACGAGACGUACAGUGUACUAAACCAUCAGAUGAUGCUGAAGAUUUCCAGAGUCGUCUUGAACAGACUCCAUUAAGUGUAUCAUUACUUAGUGAAAAGCAAAAAGAUUUCCCACAUCCGCUGUUUGCAGUUACUCCUCACAUUGUUUCUGCUGAGACUGUACAAGAAUCCUCUGAGCAAAUUGCUAACAGUACUACUGUACCUCCUUGCCUCAAAGAUACAGACAGUUCUGCUCUACUGUUGGGUUUUCCUUCUGUCUUGAAAGAUGAUGAACUCCUUCAGGAUGCUGCUGAACAGUCCAU